AAUGAAAUGCCUGAAUUUUCAAAGGAUUAUCUUGAUAGGAUAAAUUAUGUGACCACCUCACUUUCAUUA
rnacentral:tRNA from 1 species